ensembl:snRNA U2 U2 spliceosomal RNA
UCCACUUUUGAUUAAAUAUCAAUAAAACCAAAAAAAAAAAAAAUCUGUUCUUAUCAGUUUAAUAUCUGAUACGUCCCCUACCCGGGGACUACAUAUUAAAUUGAUUUUUGGAUCACGGAGCUGGAGCCGGGGCUUGCUCUGUCCACUCCACGCAUCGGCCUGGUAUUGCAGUGUCUCCAGGAACGGUGUGGUUCCC